rnacentral:rRNA from 1 species
AUUGAACGCUGGCGGAAUGCUUUACACAUGCAAGUCGAGCGGCAGCGCGGGGGCAACCCUGGCGGCGAGCGGCGAACGGGUGAGUAAUGCAUCGGAACGUACCCAGUCGUGGGGGAUAACGUGGCGAAAGUCACGCUAAUACCGCAUACGUCCUGAGGGAGAAAGCAGGGGAUCGCAAGACCUUGCGCGAUUGGAGCGGCCGAUGUCUGAUUAGCUAGUUGGUGGGGUAAAGGCCUACCAAGGCGACGAUCAGUAGCUGGUCUGAGAGGACGAUCAGCCACACUGGGACUGAGACACGGCCCAGACUCCUACGGGAGGCAGCAGUGGGGAAUUUUGGACAAUGGCGCAAGCCUGAUCCAGCCAUGCCGCGUGAGUGAAGAAGGCC